AUACUAGCUUUGGCAGCAUCUAUACUAAAAUUGGAGCCAUACAGAGAAGAUCAGUAUGACCCCUGCACAAGGAUGACUUGCAAAUUUGUGAAGCGAUCCAUAUUUUU
ensembl:snRNA U6 U6 spliceosomal RNA